rnacentral:rRNA from 1 species
UACAGAGGUCUCAAGCGUUGUUCGGAUUCAUUGGGCGUAAAGGGUGCGUAGGUGGCGCGCUAAGUCGGGCGUGAAAUCCCGGGGCUUAACCUCGGGACUGCAUUCGAUACUGGCGUGCUUGAGGACUGGAGAGGAGACUGGAAUUUACGGUGUAGCAGUGAAAUGCGUAGAGAUCGUAAGGAAGACCAGUGGCGAAGGCGGGUCUCUGGACAGUUCCUGACACUGAGGCACGAAAGCCAGGGGAGCAAACGGG